rnacentral:tRNA from 1 species
GGCGGUAUAGCUCAGCUGGCCAGAGCAUUCGGUUCAUACCCGAAGAGUCGCAGGUUCAAAUCCUGCUGCCGCUACCA